CUUGACACUAGGUGGGUAGGAGCAGGAGGACAGCGGCCUGCCAACAGGUUGUUCCAGGCGGUAGGCGGCUUUGGGGUCGCCCCAGGAGUCCAGCUGCGAGAGACCAAUGGGAUUUGAAAAUGGCCUUGAUGAUUCAGACGGCCGUGACGUCAGCGGGGUCAAGUUGUCGGCAGGAGGAGCGCGCAGCGUAGAGUAACAGCGCCACCUAGCAGCUGCCUCCGGGAAUCAGCCUGUAACUCCUGGGGAGAGGGGCUGAAGAGGGGGAAAAUGCGGGAGAGAGAGAAAAAUGCAUGAUUCAACACGGCCUCAAAACAGUCAAAUUCAAAUUAAAAGGUCAAGACACGAUUCAGGAAACGGAAUCGGAGAAUAACUUGUCUUUCCGGUAGCCCCGCAUUUUUUCCCCCCUGGGGUCUCGACUUUCCGAACCUCGGAAGCCUGGCGGGGAGACGACCCUAGUGCCGAGCGGGCGAGCGCCGGCGUGGACAAGUGAGGAGGCCCGAUGGCUUCUAGGGAGGCCCCAGCCAGCUCCACUGGAAGAAGACUUCGGAAAGAAAUGCCUCCGAAUUCCCUCAGCUAGGGGUGGAAUGAGAAGAUGCAAGGGUCCCUUAACUCUCCGGAAAAAAAAAAAAAAAAAAAAAAAAA